AAAAUUUUCAACUUUGAUAAACUGAAUAUUAGAGUAGAUAUUAGUAGUUCCUUUUACUCACAAAUUUCUCACACUUAAAUAGAUAACUGACAGGAGUAAAGAAGAGGAAAACGAGAGAGCAGUAGUCACUUAAUAAAAAGCAGGACCAACAACAUUUAAAUUUGUUUCUUUCAAAGAAAGAUGUCUAAAGUAGUCAGACUCAUGGAAGCAGAGAGGAGAAUAGUGGUUGCCAGGGACUGGGGGAAAGGGAGAGGGGAGUUGAAUAUCCAACUGGUAUGAAGUCUCAGUUACACAAGAAUAAGUUCUCGGGCUUCCCUGCUGGCUCCAUGAUAAAGAAUCCACCUGCCAAUGCAGGACACAUGGGUUCAAUCCCUGGUCUAGGAGGAUCCCACAUGCCAUGCAGCAACUAAGUGCGUGGGCUGCACCUAUUGAGCCUGUGCUCUAGAGCCACUGAGCCACAACUACUGAGCCCAUGUGCAGCACCUACUGAGGCCGAGUACCCUAGAGCCUGUGCUUUGCAACAAGUGAGCCCAUGUGCACCACCUACUGAGGCCGAGCACCCUGGAGCCUGUGCUUUGCAACAAGUGAGCCCAUGUGCAGCACCUACUGAGGCCGAGCACCCUGGAGCCUGUGCUUUGCAACAAGUGAGGCAGCUGCAGUGAGAAGUCCAUGCACCGCAACUAGGGAGCAGCCCUGCUUGCCGCAACUAGAGAAAAAAAGCCCACACAGCAAGGCAGACCCAGCAUAGUCAAAAAUAAAUUAAUAAUUUUUUUUUUUAAUGAGUAAGUUCUGGACACAUACCGCACAACACUAUGCCUGUAGUUAGCAAUACUGUUUCGUGCUCUUUGGUCAAGAGGGUAGAUCUUAUAUUAAGUGUUCUUACCACAGUAAGAAAAAAGAAAGAAUGAUUUGCUUACGCUUCAGUUUUUUUCAAUUAUUCUCUGGUUGGUAUAUUGAUUCAUUUCUUCAUGGUAACAAUAUAUGUUUACCAUCAUAAAUUUACUUUUAAGGCAUUUAAAGAUAGGAAUGUUACUUCUCUGGGAUUCUUAACAUUCCCUUUGGAAAACCUGUUUAAACCACAGAGCCCAUUAUAUUACUUAGGGGUGUAGGAAAGGGCAUAGAAUGAGGGAGGAAAGCACAAAAUACCUUUGACACCUUUUCCCCAAGUACCAGGGGGUCUUUCCAGGUGAUGCAGUGGUAAAGAAUCCGUCUGCCAAUUCAGGGUUCAAUCCCUGGGUCAGGAAGAUCCCCUGGAGAAGAAAAUGGCAACCUGCUCCAGUAUUCUUGCCUAGAGAAUUCCAUGGACAAAGGAGCCUGGUGGACUACAGUCCGUGGGCUCGCAAAGACUCAGACAUGACUGAACACACGCACACCCAAGUACGAGGUGCAAUAGCAAUAUCUCAGAGGAAACCCUGGUUGGAUUAGUAGGGUGAGGAAGCUUUUCAGGGAUCUGGGGGGCCAGGCUCUGGCCUUGUUUCCAGGUAGUGGGCGCUCGAGCACCGUGUGUUAGUUGCAUGCGAGAAGUUCCCUGCGGUCCGCAGUGCCCUCGGGAGAUUCUUCAGGAGUUGGUGGCUGAGGUGGAAAGCAGAAGGGAGAGGCGCACGGGGAGGGUCUGCAACGGGAAGUCAACCGAGGGAGUCGACUGCUGGCGUGCGGAGCCAGAGGAGCGCAGGGUGGCGAUUACUGCAGAGCUGUGUUUCUGAGCGAGGACAGAGUUUCCAUGAGGCUCACAUUGUUGGUUUACAGUUCACUGAAUUUAACAAGUCCCUCUCCAGGACCCAGAUGUGACCAUCCUGGACCUUGAGGAGGUUGACCACUCUAGGGGAUGACAGAGUGGGCGGCUAAGAAGUGCCUGGGGCCUUGAGGACUUUGAAGAGCCUUCCACACUGGCCCUGGAUGGCCUAACUGGACUGUCACCUGAGACAAAAAUAAUCUCCUAUUUUGUGUUAGCCCCUCUUUGGGGGUUUUCUGAUACUUGCAGUCAAACUAAUCAUCACUAGUAUAAAAAAUAAAAUUCUGUUCUAUCAUCUCUCA